UACGAAGGGAGCUAGCGUUGUUCGGAAUUACUGGGCGUAAAGCGCAUGCAGGCGGAUCGUUAAGUCGGGGGUGAAAUCCCGAGGCUCAACCUCGGAACUGCCCUCGAUACUGGCGAUCUUGAGUCCGGGAGAGGUGAGUGGAACUGCGAGUGUAGAGGUGAAAUUCGUAGAUAUUCGCAAGAACACCAGUGGCGAAGGCGGCUCACUGGCCCGGUACUGACGCUGAGAUGCGAAAGCGUGGGGAGCAAACAGG
rnacentral:rRNA from 1 species